rnacentral:misc_RNA from 1 species
AAGGCAAAGGAUGUUCAACUUGAUAAAGUAAUGUUUAUUCCGGGCUUUUUCUUAUAUCUGUAUUCAACAAUAUAAAAUUGCAGGAUAGGUUUAUAAAAUUUCCGUAUAGCUAUAAUUACCAUUUGAUGUUGAUAUCUUGUUUCUUAUAUGAUUAGUCACACAAAGCGAGAGCCUUUUAGGUUUUCUUAUAUCUCUGUUGCUCAAAUGCCCGCGACUUCCACUCAUUAUUUUCUGUGCUCACAACUUGCUUUAUAUUGUGUAUAAAGCUGCUUCUUUGAAGAUCGAAGUUCACACUCUUCCACAAAGCA